GGAAGGGACUGUCUUUUUAUUCCUUCAGUUUAGGAGCUGAUCUACAUAUCUCAGUUUCUGAAAAUUAAUUUUGAACAUGGAAUUUCUAAGAAGUAUGUCUACAUGUACAUAAUGCAAAUGGAUUGCUUCCUCUGGAUUGGCUGUCAGAUUAGAUGUAAUCUAAGUUACCUGCUCAAGAGGAAUGCAGACUCAAUGUUCCUGGAGUAUGACAGCACGCCUCUCCCAGAGAGAAGAUAUGGAGAAAAACAACAACAACAACAACAGCAACAACAACUACAUCAUAAAUCUGAAAUAACACUAACUACUUGACCAGAAGGUAUUCUGGGAAAUUGAAGCCUUGGAUGAGUGAUUGCCUUUGUUUCCCCUUCCUCUAUCCUCUGCUGGGGGAAGAUGAGAUGGAAGGCACAUGUCUAGGAUCCUAAGCCCUUAUCUCCUUGGGUUCUGGGCUUUCUGAAUAAAACUUGGUUUAAAGA